GCAAGGAUCAAGAAAACCACUCAGGGAGGUGAUGACUGAUGGCCUGCAGGUGUGAAAAUGAGAAAACAGGACCAGGUGUGUCAGAAAGGUAAAGUCUGAGCUGAGCUGAAAGUUGAUGGUCCAUCUACAUUCAGACCCUCAUCUACGGUCAUGAGAAGACUACCAUUAGAGCAAGAAGAUCCUGAGUACAUCACCUGGAAUGAACCUCCUUUGUAAGUUCACCAGGCACAUCCCCCUUGGAGGAACGCCCCUGAACAGACCCAGAACUUACUGGAGGGACUGAAUUAUCUAUACUGGAAACACACUGGAAUCCAAGCUGCGGGGAUAAAUGGAGAGGAAAGAAUUGUCUGGGCUUUUUCUUUGUGGUCGGAUUUUCUUCUAAUGGACAGUUUCUUCAGUUUCAGGU